AUUUAUGUAGUAUAAAUAUUAUAUUUGACUUCCAAUCAAAAGAUCUAGGAAUAGUAUAAAUA
rnacentral:tRNA from 2 species